GAUGAAAAGUGACGGGAGACGGACUGAGCCCAUGCCGAGGGUUUUUCCCUGGUUUCUCAGAUAGCUCCGGGGCCAAGAUUCGGGAAGACAUCGAGACAGAGCCUUUGAUAUAAAAGAAGCGGAUCAGCCAAUCAGCGUCGCCGUGGUUCCUGGUUUUAAAGUCCUCGCCGGCCCACCGGGACUCAUUCUCCCCAGACGCCAAACUUAAGGUUCAUGGCGACCCGAACGCUCUUCCUGCUGCUCUCGGGGGUCCUGGCCCUGACCCAGAUCUGCGCAGAGACAGAAUCCACAGUCCACCCUAGGUCCCUCCUAGAAACAACUGCCCCUGCUGCUGAGCACAGACGCCACUGCUCACACCUCUGACACCCUGGUGCUGGACACUGGGCCCUGAGACUAGGACAGAUGUCACUGCUGCACCUGGAAACUGGACAUCACCACUGUCACUCAGUCAUCUUUACUAAAAUGCAUUCUGCACAGUCACAGCCUCGUCCUGGGUCGGGGUCCCGUAGGUGGUCGUCUGACUGGUGGAGCCUAAGCCUCAUGUCCAUGACCAACUGCCAGGGUGACUGGAGCACUGUUCUGUUCCAGGGAGGGAAGUGGUUUCUGUCUCCUCUCAAGACUUUAAGUGUCAUAAAGCAAAAAUAAACUUCAAAGACCCCCAACCCAACCCCAAACAUCUUCUUAAUGGACACUAUCCUCACCCGCGGCACUCAAAAUUUAACCUGAAAGACCAAUUCAGGCCAUGAUGGCAAGGGGGCACUGAACAUUCUUCAUUAUGGUCUCUUCCCUUUCAGAAUUAUUCUCUCUGAAGCCUGCCACCUGGAGGCAUCAUCGGCAUGAUAAACUUUGGUCCCCACAACCUCUUAUCAUAACCCAGACAUUCCUUUCUAUUGAUAACAGCCAAUUGCCAAUCAGAACAUUUUAAAAUCUACCUAAAACCUAGAAGCUCCUCCUCCCCAACCCUGAAUCAAGUUGUCCUGUUUUUCUGGACCAAACCAAUGUAUAUCUUAAAUGUAUUUCAUUGAUGUCUCUUAUCUUCCUAAAAUGUAUAAAGCCAACCUGUGCCCCAACCACGGUGAGCACAUGUUCUCAGUGUCUCCUGAGGACUGUGUCAUGGGCUGUGGUCACUCAUAUCUGGUUCAGAAUAAAUCUCUUCAAAUAUGUUA